rnacentral:rRNA from 1 species
CAGCCGCCGCGGGAAAACGGAGGGUGCGAGCGUUAAUCGGAAUUACUGGGCGUAAAGCGUACGCAGGCGGUCUGUUAAGUCAGAUGUGAAAUCCCCGGGCUUAACCCGGGAACUGCAUUUGAAACUGGCAGGCUAGAGUCUCGUAGAGGGGGGUAGAAUUCCAGGUGUAGCGGUGAAAUGCGUAGAGAUCUGGAGGAAUACCGGUGGCGAAGGCGGCCCCCUGGACGAAGACUGACGCUCAGGUACGAAAGCGUGGGGAGCAAACAGGAUUAGAUACCCGGGUAGUCCCUGUCUCUUAUAC